rnacentral:tRNA from 1 species
GCGCCUGUAGCUCAAUUGGAUAGAGCAUCGGUCUACGGAACCGAAGGUUGGGGGUUCGAAUCUCUCCAGGCGUA